UCCUGGUUAACCCAGGCAGUCUCGCUAGAGUGCCCGCCAUUACGCGCUGGCAACUAACGACAAGGGUUGCGCUCGUUGCGGGACUUAACCCAACACCUCACGGCACGAGCUGACGACAGCCAUGCAGCACCUGUGCAUCUGUCUCUUGCGAGAAAGCUUCAUCUCUGAAGCGGUCAAAUGCAUGUCAAGACCAGGUAAGGUUCUUCGCGUUGCAUCGAAUUAAACCACAUGCUCCACUGCUUGUGCGGGUCCCCGUCAAUUCUUUUGAGUUUCACCCUUGCGAGCGUACUCCCCAGGCGGUAUACUUAUCGCGUUAGCUACGGCACAGUUGGGGUUGAGUCCAACUACGCCAAGUAUACAUAGUUUAAGGCAAGGACUAC
rnacentral:misc_RNA from 1 species